ACCGAAGCCAUCACGACGCUCCUGGCGAAGUUCUUUGCAAAUCUGUCGGAGCGGAUCGUCAGGGAAACGAAGUUGGAUUUCAUCCCAAAUCCAAGGAUGUUGAUUGGGAACGUUGGGAAUCAUCUCUAAGUUGAGAGUUGUUGAGUUGGGAACCCUGCGGGUGCGGGGAAGAUUUUCUUAGGGGCUUUGCAGGAGUCAGGUAAGGAGAUAAACUAA